GUCGAGUCUGAAAAUGUUGUAGAUUGUGAUUUCCAGAAGUUGACUAUGAAUGAUGCUUCAGAUUUGUUAAAUGGGUCAUGGGUUGUUGUUGCUGGAGAUUCACAAGCUAGGUUAAUGGUGGUUUCACUUUUGGAGUUGUUAUUGGGAGAUAGUAAGAUGGAGUUGAUAAAGAAGGAUCUUUUCUUGAGGCAUAGUGAUUAUAACAUAUUUGUUGAUGAGAUUGGGAUGAAGCUGGACUUU
rnacentral:misc_RNA from 1 species